UUUCAAAUCAUAUUUCAUUGCAAAGCAGCUGUCUCCACUUAUAUCGGGACGCCCAUGUCCGUGCAGUGCUUCAAAAAGCAUAGCAUUGCAAGCUCCGGAUGUUUUCCAAGUAUAUAAAUUGGUUGCUGAGUUCUUAAGCAAAGAUUUGGGAGCUAGGAGAGUGGAGAAAGCCGCUGAACAGGUUAAUUCUUUGAUUGGGGUGAUUCUUGUAUGUAAACAAGUGUGUGUUAUUGCAAGGAGAUGAGUGUGGAAAGUGAUUCAAAGUUAAUUUAUCGUUUUCAGAUUUGGUUAGUGUCUGGAAGGAUAGGCUUGAAGGCUUCUUGACCACUCACGAGUGAUAAAAUAUAUAAAGAGAUUAGUGUUGGAGGGUCAACAGUGAUAUUCUUAGCUGGAGUUGUUAUUUCUGAGAUUUUCUUGUUGAAGCUGUGCUUGGAUUUACGGAUGGGUAAUUGGGGAGUGGAGUUGGAGGAGCUGAGGAGUUGGAUUGUUGGCUUGGGUUGCAGAGCUUCUUCUUCCUGGAGACCCUUGUGUGGAUUCUGUUGGAGCCAACCUUUCCUGUGACUUCACUGUUGGUUAUUAACAAAUUUUUCCUCGGUGUUUAAUCCCUUAGACUAGCGGUAUUGCUAUUGUAAAAGCACCAUGUGGGAAAAUUUUCUAUGCACAGAUGGGAAGAAAGUUCUUUGAGAACAGUUCUGCAUGAUGCUGCUAUAUUGGUAGAAUAUUCUUUCCACAGUCCUGAUGGAGCAAUCAGUGUACCAGGCAAUUGGGAGAGAGAUGUUGCAGCGAAAAGAUUGAUCACUACACAUGAAGCCAUAGAGCUUUUCAGUUUCCAGACCAUCCCAAAUUAUCAAGUGUGUCACCAGCCAGGUUGGCAUGGAGGAAGAAGCAAGCAGAUUGAAGAGAGCAUCACCUAAAGCUCUGAUAAGUUAUUGUUUCUUAUUGUCAUAGAUAUCUGCAUCCUGUAGUUCUUGCUUCAAAACAAUCUGUUCCUGCAUCUUAUAUUUCAUGCUUACCUCAACACUUCAAUACUAAGAAUCGAGAUUCGAAUCAAAAUCAGAACUUAAGCCAAAUUGAGAAUUGAGAUUUGGUUCAAUUUUCAAUCACUUCGAUUCUAAUUUUGACUAAAAAAAAAACGAACGAUUCUGGUUCCUCCAGGACCCGAACAUAACCUAACUUUAACCACUCUUGCCUAUCAGAUGUCACAUGACAUAUUAAAGGAUUUUAUCGCAUAUAUCUUCUAAUCGUCUUGUCUAAUUCUGGAUAUUAGGCCCAUCUCUUUUUUUUUUUUUUUUAAAUCAUUUCAUUUAAGGUUUUGAAUUUUCUUUAUAAAAUCUUAGCUAAGCUUAUAUACAGAGCAAUCUCUUCAGUCUUCUCUCUCCACUCAAUAUGGCCAAUGCAAGCUUUGACCUGGACGACGCUUUCUCUUCUCUCACUCUGAACAAUAUGGCCAAUGAAAGCUUUGAUGUCGAAGAGCGUCCAACUUUGCCGCAGGAGCGAAUCACAGCAUCAAAUUCUCUGGUGGAUGGGAUGCCAAUGGUAGUUACAGAUGAUGUUUGUAUGGUUUGUAUGGAGGGUUUCGAAUCAAGUAUAGGUGGAAAACGAGUCCCAUGCGGCCACGUCUAUCAUUCUGUGUGCAUCUCCUCCUGGCUCUCCCACAGUAAUUCUUGUCCUUUGUGCCGCUGCAACAUCACCGGUGAGCAAUGAGCAUAUGUUAUUUAAGGCUGUGGCAGCUGUUAGUUUAAUCGUUGAAUAGAAGUUUCAGUUUUGCUUAUGUAAUUGAGGGUUUUGUUCUAAAAUAAAUCGUGACAUAGUUAAAUUUGAUACAAUUUUUUCCAAAGAUUAGAGGCGAGCACUGGAAAGUGGAAAUUUGGCUG